UACAGAGGGCAGCCAAGUCGUGAGGCGGAGCUAAUCCCUUAAGCCAUUCUCAGUUCGGAUUGUAGGCUGAAACUCGCCUACAUAAAGCUGGAGUUACUAGUAAUCGCAGAUCAGAAUGCUGCGGUGAAUGCGUUACCGGGUCUUGUACACACCGCCCGUCACACCACGGAAGUUGGGGGCGCCCGAAGCCACUUAUCUAACCCUUUUGGGAAGCGAGUGUCGAAGGUGAAAUCAAUAACUGGGGUGAAGUCGUAACAAGGUAAC
rnacentral:rRNA from 1 species